rnacentral:lncRNA from 1 species
AAAUUCGAGAUCAGUCACCCUGGGCACCAGGUGCUCCGAAGGUCGGUUGUAAUGUCAUACUAGUGUUCGGCCAUCCCAAAAACCCUCGAAUAAUCUGUUUUCUUUAAUUUAUUGCCGAUAUCCCACGAAACUCCAGAUGACGUGCCUUAGCAGCAACUCUGGGCACUAGGUGAUUCGGAGGUCGGUUCUGCUUGCGUAUUCGUAACUCCAUAAACCUCCCAAA